rnacentral:rRNA from 1 species
GAUGAACGCUGGCGGCGUGCUUAACACAUGCAAGUCGAACGGAAAGGCCCAAGCUUGCUUGGGUACUCGAGUGGCGAACGGGUGAGUAACACGUGGGUGAUCUGCCCUGCACUUCGGGAUAAGCCUGGGAAACUGGGUCUAAUACCGGAUAGGACCACUUCUUGGAUGUUGUGGUGGAAAGUUUUUUCGGUGUGGGAUGAGCUCGCGGCCUAUCAGCUUGUUGGUGGGGUAAUGGCCUACCAAGGCGUCGACGGGUAGCCGGCCUGAGAGGGUGUACGGCCACAUUGGGACUGAGAGACGGCCCAGACUCCUACGGGAGGCAGCAGUGGGGAAUAUUGCACAAUGGGCGCAAGCCUGAUGCAGCGACGCCGCGGGGGGGAGGACGGCCUUCGGGUUGUAAACUCCUUUCGCUAGGGACGAAGCGUUUUGUGACGGUACCUGGAGAAGAAGCACCGGCUAACUACGUG